ensembl:snRNA U6 U6 spliceosomal RNA
GUGAUCGCUUUGGCAGCACAUAUACUAAAACUGGAAAGAUACAGAGAAAAUUAGCAUGGCCCCUGUGCAAGGAUGACAUGCAAAUCUGUGAAGCGUGCCAUAUUUUU